rnacentral:rRNA from 1 species
GAACGAUGGAGUUGCUCCAGGCGUCGAGCGGCGGACGGGUGAGUAAUGCAUAGGAAUCUGCCCGGUAGUGGGGGAUAACCUGGGGAAACCCAGGCUAAUACCGCAUACGUCCUACGGGAGAAAGCAGGGGAUCUUCGGACCUUGCGCUAUCGGAUGAGCCUAUGUCGGAUUAGCUUGUUGGUGAGGUAAUGGCUCACCAAGGCGACGAUCCGUAGCUGGUCUGAGAGGAUGAUCAGCCACAUCGGGACUGAGACACGGCCCGAACUCCUACGGGAGGCAGCAGUGGGGAAUAUUGGACAAUGGGCGAAAGCCUGAUCCAGCCAUGCCGCGUGUGUGAAGAAGGCUUUCGGGUUGUAAAGCACUUUCAGUGAGGAAGAAGGCCUUGGGGCUAAUACCCCCGAGGAAGGACAUCACUCACAGAAGAAGCACCGGCUAACUCCGUGCCAGCAGCCGCGGUAAUACGGAGGGUGCGAGCGUUAAUCGGAAUUACUGGGCGUAAAGCGCGCGUAGGCGGCGUGAUAAGCCGGUUGUGAAAGCCCCGGGCUCAACCUGGGAACGGCAUCCGGAACUGUCAGGCUAGAGUGCAGGAGAGGAAGGUAGAAUUCCCGGUGUAGCGGUGAAAUGCGUAGAGAUCGGGAGGAAUACCAGUGGCGAAGGCGGCCUUCUGGACUGACACUGACGCUGAGGUGCGAAAGCGUGGGUAGCAAACAGGAUUAGAUACCCUGGUAGUCCACGCCGUAAACGAUGUCGACUAGCCGUUGGGGUCCUUGAGACCUUUGUGGCGCAGUUAACGCGAUAAGUCGACCGCCUGGGGAGUACGGCCGCAAGGUUAAAACUCAAAUGAAUUGACGGGGGCCCGCACAAGCGGUGGAGCAUGUGGUUUAAUUCGAUGCAACGCGAAGAACCUUACCUACCCUUGACAUCGUGCGAACUUGGUAGAGAUACCUUGGUGCCUUCGGGAGCGCACAGACAGGUGC